GAUUAAGCCAUGCAUGUCUAAGUAUAAACGAUUUUAUCGUGAAACCGCGAACGGCUCAUUAAACCAGCUAUAAUCUACUUGAUCUUGACAUAUAUCUACUUGGAUAACUGUGGUAAUUCUAGAGCUAAUACAUGCACAAAUUCUCUGACCUUGCGGGAAGAGCGCAUUUAUUAGAGCAAAACCAGGCGGCUUCGGUCGUUUUUUGCUGACUCAGAAUAACUCAGCUGAUCGCACGGUCUUUGUACCGGCGACGUGUCUUUUGAGUAUCUGCCUUAUCAAUUUUCGAUGGUAGUGUAUCUGACUACCAUGGUUUUGACGGGUAACGGAGAAUCAGGGUUCGACUCCGGAGAAGGGGCCUGAGAAAUGGCCACUACGUCUAAGGAUGGCAGCAGGCGCGCAAAUUACCCACUCUCGGAAUGAGGAGGUAGUGACGAGAAAUAACGAGACCGUUCUCUUUGAGGCCGGUUAUCGGAAUGGGUACAAUUUAAACCCUUUAACGAGUAUCUAUGAGAGGGCAAGUCUGGUGCCAGCAGCCGCGGUAAUUCCAGCUCUCAAAAUGCAUAGAACCAUUGCUGCGGUUAAAAAGCUCGUAGUUGAAUCUAUGCCUGAGGCUUGGUCCACUCUUUGAGUGCGUACUAGGUUCUUUGGCUUUUCGUCGGUUUUCUUGUCGUGGCCUUUAUUGGUGGCGGCAAGUGGCUGACAAUUUUACUUUGAACAAAUCAGAGUGCUUAAAACAGGCGUCUCGCUUGUAUGCUUUUGCAUAGAAUAAUGGAACACGACUUCGGUCUAGUUUUAUUGGUUUUAUAGAUCGUUGUAAUGAUUAAAAGAGACAAACGGGGGCAUUCGUAUUGUUGCGUGAGAGGUGAAAUUCUUGGACCGCAGCAAGACGACCUACAGCGAAAGCAUUUGCCAAGCUUGUCUUCAUUAAUCAAGAACGAAAGUCAGAGGAUCGAAGGUGAUCAGAUACCGCCCUAGUUCUGACCGUAAACGAUGCCAACUAGCGAUUCGCCGGCGGAUUAUUUGCCCUGGCGAGGAGCUUCCCGGAAACGAAAGUCUUCCGGUUCCGGGGGAAGUAUGGUUGCAAAGCUGAAACUUAAAGGAAUUGACGGAAGGGCACCACCAGGAGUGGAGCCUGCGGCUUAAUUUGACUCAACACGGGAAAACUCACCCGGCCCGGACACUAUAAGGAUUGACAGAUUGAUAGCUCUUUCAUGAUUUGGUGGAUGGUGGUGCAUGGCCGUUCUUAGUUCGUGGAGUGAUUUGUCUGGUUUAUUCCGAUAACGAGCGAGACUCUAGCCUACUAAAUAGUCUGCUCAUUGCUAUUGUGUGGCAGUACUUCCUAGAGGAAUUUUCGGUGUUUAACCGCAUGAAAUUGAGCAAUAACAGGUCUGUGAUGCCCUUAGAUGUCCGGGGCUGCACGCGCGCUACACUGGUAAAGUCAGCGUGCGUCUCCUUUCUCGAAAGAGAUUGGUAAACCAGUGAACGUUUGCCGUGAUAGGGAUCGGAAAUUGCAAUUAUUUUCUGUGAACGAGGAAUUCCAAGUAAAUGUGAGUCAUCAACUCGCGUUGAUUACGUCCCUGCCCUUUGUACACACCGCCCGUCGCUGCCCGGGACUGAGCCAUUUCGAGAAAAUUGGGGAUUGCUGACUGACGGUUCUUCGGGAUUGUCUUUUGGUGAAAACCAGCUUAAUCGUAGUGGCUUGAACCGGGCAAAAGUCGUAACAAGGUGGCUGUAGGUGAACCUGCUGCCGGAUCAUUA
rnacentral:rRNA from 1 species